UACAGAGGUCCCAAGCGUUAGGCGGAAUCACUGGGCUUAAAGCGUGUGUAGGCGGAUUUGUAAGUACCUUGUGAAAUCCCCGGGCUUAACCUGGGAACUGCAUUGGUGACUGCAUCGCUCGAGUAUGGCAGAGGGGGGUAGAAUUCCACGUGUAGCAGUGAAAUGCGUAGAGAUGUGGAGGAAUACCGAUGGCGAAGGCAGCCCCCUGGGUCAAUACUGACGCUCAUGCACGAAAGCGUGGGGAGCAAACAGG
rnacentral:rRNA from 1 species